rnacentral:rRNA from 1 species
UACGGAGGGUGCGAGCGUUGUCCGGAAUUAUUGGGCGUAAAGAGCGUGUAGGCGGUUUGUCGCGUCUGCUGUGAAAAUCCGGGGCUCAACCCCGGACUUGCAGUGGGUACGGGCAGACUAGAGUGUGGUAGGGGAGACUGGAAUUCCUGGUGUAGCGGUGAAAUGCGCAGAUAUCAGGAGGAACACCGAUGGCGAAGGCAGGUCUCUGGGCCACUACUGACGCUGAGAAGCGAAAGCAUGGGGAGCGAACAGG